GGCAGCGACAGGCAGCUCGAUCCCUCUCCUUCGGCAACGAUCUCCGGCAGGAAGCUUCAUUUUCUCUCCCCUCCUCUCCGGCAGGGUUCAGCGCACUGCGGCCAGCCGCGCCCUGUCGCCGCAGCUGGUCUUGCACGAUAGGCGCGAUGCGUCGGAUCCGGCUGCUGGCUGGCCCCCUAGCGACCUCUGGCGGCCCCCUGUCGCACGCUGGUAGUUGUUGGUGGCCCAGGCGGCCGCUGGCGGCCCAGGGGGGUCGCUGCUUCGACUACUGAGUGGUCGCGUGCUUCGACUACCAUUGGCGAGCAGCGUUUAAGCUACAGGGUCUUGUUCUCAGGUAUCUUGUGAAUUGUAGUGCUCUUGUAAGACAAGGAAAAAAGCACAAAAAAACUUUGAGAUGGUUGAUUCCUCUAAUUUCACCUUUUGCCAGGUUGGUUUAAAAGUUCAAUACGACAACAUAGAGUCUCCUAAAGCAAUUCCUGAUAUUAAUAAGAUUGUUCUUGAAGACAAUCCUUCAUGUGGUUUGAGAACAGAUAGAAAUCCAGUGUCAGGUGAUACUUCUCGAGACAAUACAAUUGUACAAGAGCAAUCUGAUGCGUCUGCAUCUCAGAUUCCUCCCGGUGACAGUGAUGAUGGUGAUGAUGAUAAUGACGAUGGUGGUGAUUCUUCGUAAAUUUAUUGAAAAGAUGCACAGAAGAAUGAAGCUCCUGAGACGUGACGAUUUGUAUUGUUUUUUGUGUGUAUUGGAUGCCUUGUGAUUAUAUAUUUGGAUAUAAUGAUUUGUUGAACUUGUCGUAUGGAUGUUGUUUAUUUGUGUAUGAAUAUGAUGUGUUUAGUUUUGGAUGACUUGUUUGAAUGUUGGAUAUGGAUGUGUUGGAUGUUUAAUUGGAUGUGUUGAUUAUGAUGUAUGUUUGAUA